GUGCUCAACUUUGCUCCUGGUCAGUUGCCGCAGGUGAGACACUUGCCUCCAUGCUUGGGUGAUUCUACCUGCUCACUUAGUAUCAUACUUGAAUCUAUGUACGAAUUUCACAAGUUUGGAUGCAUCAUAGAACUUCUGGUGAUAUAGUUUAGAUUGCAACAAGCAAAAAUACAAGUGUUGAGAUUGUUAGGAGCAGCUUGGCGCUGUACUCAUUUAGAAUCCCGCGCCCCUCUUAAUUGGUGCAGCUUGUGCGCAUGCCUUUUCUGGCUACCACAAGCUCUAGUUUCUGUACAAUUGGCCUUGAGAUUUUCGUUUGCUCAAGGGUUCAUUGAUGAUCUGCACUUGUACCAAUGUACCAUGCUACUCUUUGGCAAUUCAAUUUCACAUUGCAUUUGGAUCUUAAACUUAUACAGUAUAAGCUUAGUUAUUUGCAUAUGUAAAAUAUGUUGACAAAGUGUUAAGUUGGAUUACCGCCUCAUGUUGAUGGCAUUGUCUCUAAACAUUUAAUAAUAUUACUUUUUGGUGAUCUGGAUCAGGAUCUAAUGUUGUUUAGGCUGGUGCUGCUAUGACGGAAGAUCAGAAGAGGCAUGGAGAUGCGCACCACAGUUUUAGUUGAUCUUGCACCAUGUUUUGGUGCUUGUGUAUCUGUUUUUGCUUGUAAGCACACUUGUAUGUGCUUGUGUAUCUGUUUUUGCUUCUAUGUGCUAAGUUUAGUUGAUGUUGGGCAUGCGAACUUGUAUGUGCUGUUGUGUGUAUUUGGCUGAAUGAUUUCUGAAUUUAAUCAUUUAAUCAAGAGAAUUAUUGAGUGUUUGCUGUUCAAAUGUGUAAACUGGAAAUCAGUGAAUAAAAAGACCAAAUGUUCUAUUGGACCAAAUAAUAUAUGGGCUCUAAAAAGGCUAUGGCCCAAAUAAUAGUGGACUGGAACAUUGUUU
rnacentral:lncRNA from 1 species